AGGAGGAGGAGAAGGAGGCUAUUCUUCUACCACUGUGACAAAUGGAUAUCAGACGACAAAGCAGACGACACAACAGCCAACUACUGCUAAACCAAGCAUUUGCUGGAACGCACGGUGGUUCAACAGUUUUACCCCCACCCAAACAAACAGGUCAGAUUACGAACACCAAUCAGCAAAAAUUUUAGACUCCCUUUGUGCCAGUGGUUCUCCAAUUGGAGCACAUUGUAAAGAUCAAAAGGGAGAACCAUUUUCCGGUUACAAGAACGACACCGUCGGCAAAUUUAUUGCUACAUGUAACGUUGUCAGGGGACUGAUAUGCAAUCCUUACAACAACACAAUAAAUGCAACAUGCCCCGAUUUUCAAAUACAGUACGGCUGCAACUGUCCAAAAUCAACGACAGCCACAAUUGCUGGCGGAAAGACUACCAUUGUAACAGGAAAAGUAACAACUGGGACAACUGCUGCAGUCAGUACAUCGAACCCCGGAAGCGGAAGUGGAACAGGACAAAGCGUAUCUGGCCAGCAACACGGACAAUGCGGAAACAGUGGUCAAAAACUCGGAAUCAGUCAAAUAGUGUUGCUUUUAUGUUUAAUUAUAAUAACUUUCUGUUGAUUUCUUUAGUGCUUUGAAGACUUCACAUUCAAAGACCAUAUCAAUAUUGUAAUUUACAACUUACAAAUGUUUCAGUGAGACUUUAAUUAAGGUGUUUUUCUUUGAAAGCAACGUGAUAAGUGUCAGAUAUAUUGGGAAUUAAUGGUCGCUUGUCAUUGCAUUUUUCCUACAGGUUAUGAAAUAUGUAUAACGACUCUGAUAAGAAAAGAAAUCAGUGAAGCCAAGAAAAGUGAUUCGUUGAUUUGGAUUCUUAAUUAACCAUAAGUAGUACAAAAAUAUAAAAAAUGAAAUGAAAGUCUGGAAAUUAUCAAACAAGAACAGCUUAUUUUAUCGAAGCUUAUCAAUUUAUUGCAGGAGAAAUGCGGACGAUGAAGAUACAUCAAUAUUAAAACUAAAGAAGAAAAAUUUUGCUAUAUUUUGAUUUAUUAUAGUUACCAUGAUUUAACACAAGAUGCUUGAAAUCAAAUAGAAUUUUGUUCUUUAUUGUGAAUAUGAAUUAAUAUGAAAUAUGCGUGCGAUCUUAUUACCGUAUUGCAUUACGUUACCUAAUUUCUUUCAGUAAAAAUAGAUGUAUCUGUAAAACAAGCUUUGCCUCUCUGAAGGUCAUUUUUAGAAAAUCUUUAAUGCAUUUCAAGAAACGGACGACUG
rnacentral:lncRNA from 1 species